rnacentral:lncRNA from 1 species
GUCCUUUCUUUGUUUUUGCCCAAUAUUACAUCAUACAUGUUCCCUGUGCUUUCACAUGGGCUUCCUAAUGAUUGUUUGCAGGCUAUUCUCAGUCACCAAUCCAUGACCCCGUUGAUUUAUUAAAGUGGUCUCUGAUUUGGAGCCAUAAUAGACAUCAAUGUUAAUAUGCUUUUUGCUGUUAAAUAAUAUUCUUAGGAGAAAACCCUACAAGGGGAACCUCAUAAGUUUGGAAAGGUGCCAUAUUGCCACCUUCUAAAUAGUCUGUACAUCAGCAGUGUACAAAGGUAGUGGUUUUUGUGUGACCUCAGCAUUGGGCAUUACUAUUUUCAACACGGGUCUGCACCUGGCCCUUUUUAAGGCUUUGAGGAGAUGGGAUUCAGGAACUUGUGGGGUAGGCUAGGGGAGUUUGAAGCAGGGAGAACAGUUCUGUGCUUGGGGUACCCAGGAAGGAGAGUUGGGUAGCUGAAGUGAGGAGGCCAUCAAACAGCCUUUACCUGCUUUUGAAAUUUGCCGAAAGCAGCCCUCAUCAUGCCUGGCAAGAGGCAUCCAGGAGAGCAUUCAGAAUUCACAGUGCUGCCUCAGCAGAAAAGUUUUAUAAUUUCCUUGAGUCAAGAUCAGAAUUAUAGGCAGCAGCAUUUCUUCCUUUGCAAAAGACUUCUCAGGUCUGUAUUUAAGUGCAUCUGUUUUAAAAAUUCUGUUCUAAAGGCUGAUGUCUUUCACUGAGAGUGAUUCCUCUUGGGGCCAGCUCUAUGGAGCUGACCUCCUGGCUCCUUGGCCUUAGGAACUGUAGCACACCCCUGGGAAAUGCUGGAGUGCAGUCAGCCCACCG